rnacentral:lncRNA from 1 species
GGCUCUUCUUCAAUGGCUUGACGGAAAAUUCUUGGGGAGAUGGGUUAUGAAUUCACAAUUCUGGUACCUUCUUAACAAUGUGAAAGUAUUAUUUUACUUUCUACAUGGUUACCCAUUAUAAGGUUAUUUGUGUGGGUUUGUGGUUUAGACUGCAGACAUAGAUGAGAAAAGUAUUAGGAAGGAAAAACCAGAGGAAUUGGUUGUGGCUCUAGCUGAGGCAAAGGUAUUGCUUUAUCUUCUUUAUUACUCCACUAAUUUUAUAUUGCUUUAUCUUCUUUAUUACUCCACUAAUUUUAUACUUUUAUCUCUUACAGUAUUAUGCCUUGUGAGUCUUGUUAAAAGUUUUUAAUUGGACUCAGAAAGAGUUGAAGGGAAAGGAAGGGGCCUGAAAAAGGAAAAGAAAUUUGAACCAAUUUCUUAGAUGGUGAAUGCAUCUUCAGUUAUGUUUUGACAUAUCCCUUGUCGUUAUCUCCCAUCAAUUGGUUAAAUGUGUGAUUUAUUAAUCUAAACGAUGUUAAGAGGGAAGGCAAACAGAACUAGUACCAUGAACCUAAGCCCUUUUAGUCAGUUUUCCUGCUGGUUCACACUAUGCAUUUCUGUUAGCGCGAAAUAUCAGAAAUCAAUGGCUCAUUAAAAGUAGUACACAAAUAUCAAAAAUUAAGAUCCUGCAGAAGAGAAACCCAAAAUCGAGGAGAAUCGAAAAAAACCUCAAAAAUCCACCACUAUGCACCGCCGCCUCUCAAAAUCACGCCAUCAACAGAUCCACUGCCACCACGGCGAGAUCCAGCCGGUCAACAGAUCCACCACGACGAGAUCCAGCCGACGAGAUCCAUGGGAGAACUUAAGGUCGAUCACUAGUUUGGAACCAAUAAUCCCAGUCGUUUUUGCCACCACAACCAGCUUCUUCGCCAUCACAGAAGUUGAUGCUUUAAUAGAGAUAACAAAAGUUGUUUUCUU